UAUCAGUCAUGCAUAGCAUAUCAAUAAGCGGAGGAAAAGAAACUAACAAGGAUUCCCUUAGUAACGGCGAGUGAAGCGGGAAGAGCUCAAAUUUGAAAUCUUCAAGGUUCUACCUUGACGAAUUGUAGUUUAUAGAAGUGUUUUCUGUUAGUAGAGUGGCAAAAGUUCUUUGGAAUAGGACAUCAUAGAGGGUGAGAAUCCCGUAUUUGGUCAUUCUUCUAAGCUUUGUGAUACACUUUCAACGAGUCGGAUUGUUUGGGAAUGCAGUCCAAAAUGGGUGGUAAAUUUCAUCUAAAGCUAAAUAUUGGCGAGAGACCGAUAGCGAACAAGUACCGUGAGGGAAAGAUGAAAAGAACUUUGAAAAGAGAGUUAAACAGUACGUGAAAUUGUCAAAAGGGAAGCGUUUGACACCAGUGUUGUUUUUCCGAAAAUCAAUUACGAAUGUUUUGUUUUUGAGGAGUUAUGACUUCAUCGGCUUGCUCUCUCUUUACGAAACUUUCUUAAUGCACUUUUCGGUUAACAAGUCAACAUCAAUUUCUUUUGUUGUAAAAGGGUAUGAGGAAGGUGGCUUUCUUUUCGGAGAAAGUGUUUAUAGCCUUGUACCUCUGCAAUCGGAGAGAUUGAGGUCUGCAGCGUAGAUCCUUCGGGGUUAGAUACAUUUGUGCUAAGUUAUAGCUUUUCAUAGACAACUUGUUGACUAUGAUUAAGUCAUUGUAGCUUACUCGCUUACGCUAUUUACCUACGCUUAGGAUGUUGAUGUGAUACUGCGAGCA
rnacentral:rRNA from 1 species